rnacentral:tRNA from 1 species
GAAGGUAUAGCUCAAGUGGCAGAGGGCAUGCUUCGCAGGCACAAGGUCCUGAGUUCAAUCCCCAGUACCUCCA